CUAGAAGAGGGAAAGCGCGGGACUCAAGAAAUCUUACCCACUGCUAUACGAAAUCGUCACUUAUCACCACUCUUUUUUUUCUCUCGCCAUACUCGACUCUCUCUUCUCUGCAUUGGUUUAUGGUAUUACUAUUACCAAUUUUUUUUGUCAUUAACACUGACUCAUACUCAUCAGAGCGCCUAUUUCACUCUCUAAUCCCUCACUCAUUUUCAUUGCGUUGGAACCCAUCUUUCCCGAUACCUCACUAUUUCAAAUUCGCCAUUCAUGGCUCGCACCAAGAGAAAAACCCCAGCCGCAACCUCGCCGUCCUCGUCGUCAUUUGAAGAACUCCCAAUUGCCGCCUUAAAGAAGAAAUUCAAGGAAAAGAAGAAAACACCAGAAACUGAAUUGACCAGUGUAUCCUCCGACCCAUCUAAGGAAGUUGAACCUGCUGUGACAGCACCGGAAAAGAAAAAGGGGAGGAAAAUGCGCGGGAUUGAUACUCAACGCAAAAAGGGUGUUGCAAAAUCUUCGGGCUCUGUUGUUGACAAAGCGCUUCUCGAUUGUAAGUUCAUUAAAUGGGAUAAUUUUGAUCAGGUAAAUUUUUAAUUCAAGGAACUCUUUGAAUUUCAAGAAUGGAUGAAUGUUUACGAAUGCACUGAUGUUUACUACCCUAGACUAGUCCAAGAAUUUUAUAGAACUUUAAAAAUAGUUGAUGAAGAAGACAGAAUUGAGGUCUCUUUGAAUAACAGAGCAUAUGCCAUUUCUGUUGAGUUGAUUGCUAAAGCCUUAAAAUUGCCGAAUGAUGGAAAUAAAAUCUCUACUCCUAGAGAUGUUGCUAGAGUUCCAGGCUUUAACUUGGCUGAAUUUGAAAAUGAAGUCUUUCCUGCCAACACUGCCACUAGUGAAAAGUCCACUAGCAUAAAAGCUUUUCAGCACAUUAAGAUUAUUCACAGUAUAGUGAAUUAUAUUUUUUGUCCUAAAUCUGGCAACUAUGGAUAUUUGAGUUACUUGAAUAUGUGCAUCAUGUGGCAUAUUGUUAACAGAGUAAGAAUGAAUUUGGCAUAUCUGAUUUUCAAAAAUAUGUGUAAAGCUUAUGGGAUUGGUAAAUUACCUUAUGCCCAUCUCUUGACUGCCUGUUUAGAGAGUUGGAUAUAAAUGUAUUUAAGGAGAGUUCUAGGGCUGAUUUAAUUGUGCUUAGAAAAAUUCAUUCUGAUACUGAUGGAAGAAAGAAACGUUUUGAAAAAGGUGGAUCUUCUAAAGCUAAAGUUGGUUCAGAUUCUCAAAGUGAGAUUAUGAGUGAGCUUCAAGGGUUAAGAACAUUUAUUAAUGAGAAAUUCAAUACAUCAAAUCAGUCUAUUGAACUUUUGAGAAAAUUUGUGGAUGUUGUUGAUUACAAAGUGAGUCAUUUGCUUACUCAAAAUGAGGAGUUAAAGAAAUAGAUUGCAGAUCUUCAGCAGGCAAGGGAAACUAGUUUCCCAACCAAAGUUGAGACUGAUGUACCUGCAAGUGAUUCCUCUUCUCCUGCUACUCAUGUUUCUGCUCAUGGUAAUGUUGAGUGUGGAGGUACUGGGCUUGGUGAGUUUACUGCUGCUGUGGAACAUGAAAGUAACAGUUUGUUGAACCUGAAGUUGAACCUGCAGCUAAAGCUCCUGUUGAGCAUAUUAGUGAGCAAGUUGCAGAACCUAUAAGUGAGCCAGCUGUUGAGCCUGAGAGUGAACAAAUUAUGGAUCCUGCAGUUGACUCUACACAGCAAAAGGAAGCCUCUCUAAAGGAUAAACAAGAGAGUGCUCCAUCUCAACCUUCUGCAGCUGCUGCACCUCUAGCCAAGAAAGGUAGAAAAAGAUCUAAGUCCACGGAGUCUAAUCCAUAGCAGACUCUAGCUGCUGCCCUUCAAACCCCAUCUGAUGAAGAUGAGCCACAGGAGCAUGAGCAUUUAGCUGACCAAGGUUCUCAGCCACCUGCUACUAAACCUUCCAGGAAGAAGAUGGUGCUUUCCAAAGCUAUUCGAAGGAGCAAAAGAUUUAAUAAUUAGGAAAUAAUCUGGUUUUUUAGUUUCCUAUCUGCAUUUUUAGUUUACUAGUAUGUUUACUACUGUUGUUGAAUGCUCUUUCAGUUUGCUACUGUUUACUUUACUGAUUUUAAGUUUGUGCUAACUUGAUUCUUUUUGGAUUAAUAUUUCCUAUUUCCUUUUUGGAUGAUGACAAAA
rnacentral:misc_RNA from 1 species